rnacentral:tRNA from 1 species
GCGCCCAUAGCUCAGCCUGGAUAGAGCGCUUCCCUCCGAAGGAAGAAGUCAGACGUUCGAAUCGUCUUGGGCGCA